ACGGGGGCGAUGCCUUCGCUCUCCUGCCACAACCUCCUCGACCUCGCCGCGGCCGACGAGGUGCCCCUGCCGUCGCCCACGCCGCUUCGCCUCCCGCGCGUCAUGUCCGUCGCGUCCCCGGCCUCGCCCACCUCGCCAUCCCCGGCCGCCCCGCCGCGCCGCGUCAUCGUCUCCCACCGCCUCCCGCUCCGCGCGUCGCCGGACCCGGCCGCGCCGUUCGGGUUCAACUUCUCCGUCGACUCCGGCACCGUCGCGUACCAGCUCCGCUCGGGGCUGCCCGCCAACGCGCCCGUCCUCCACAUCGGCACCCUCCCAGCGGCCGCGGCGGAGGCCGCCUCAGAUGAGUUGUCCAACUACCUGCUGGCCAAUUUCUCGUGCCUGCCGGUGUACCUUCCCACCGACCUCCACCACCGCUUCUACCACGGAUUCUGCAAGCACUAC
rnacentral:lncRNA from 1 species